UUGAUCCUGGCUCAGGACGAACGCUGGCGGCGUGCUUAACACAUGCAAGUUGAACGGGCAAACAUGGAAGCUUGCUGAAGUNUAUGUUAGUAGCGGACGGGUGAGUAAUGCAUGAGGACCCGCCUUCCGGAGGGGGACAACAGUUGGAAACGGCUGCUAAUACCCCGUACGCCGAGAGGUGAAAGGGAUGGAGACAUCCCGCCGGGAGAGGGACUCAUGUCCUAUCAGCUGGUUGGUGAGGUAACGGCUCACCAAGGCGACGACGGGUAGCCGGCCUGAGAGGGCGACCGGCCACACUGGAACUGAGAGACGGUCCAGACUCCUACGGGAGGCAGCAGUGGGGAAUAUUGGGCAAUGGGGGCAACCCUGACCCAGCGACGCCGCGUGAGGGAAGAAGGCCUUCGGGUCGUAA
rnacentral:rRNA from 1 species